ACAUCUCUUUUUGAUUUAUUUAUAAAGUUUGACCUGCCCACUGAUAAAUUAAAUGGCCGCAGUAUUUUGACUGUGCAAAGGUAGCAUAAUCAUUAGUUUUUUAAUUGAAGACUGGAAUGAAUGGUUGGACGAAAUAAUAACUGUUUCAUAUAAAUUUAAAUUAGAAAUUUAUUUUUUAGUUAAAAAGCUAAAAUUUAAUUAAAAGACGAGAAGACCCUAUAAAUCUUUAUAUUAAGUUAAUAUUUAUUAUUUAGAAAUUUAUAUUAGUUAUUAAUAGUAAUAUUUUAUUGGGGUGAUAUUAAAAUUUAAUAAACUUUUAAUUAUUUAUUACAUUUAUUUAUGAAUAGUUGAUCUUAUAUUAUUGAUUAAGAGAAUAAGUUACUUUAGGGAUAACAGCGUAAUUUUUUUAAAGAGUUCUUAUCGAUAAAAAGGAUUGCGACCUCGAUGUUGGAUUAAGAAAUUAAUUUAGGUGUAGAAGCUUAAAGUUUAAGUCUGUUCGACUUUUAAAUUC
rnacentral:rRNA from 1 species